CCCUUAGAUGUCCGGGGCUGCACGCGCGCUACACUGUAGAAAGCAGCGUGCUUUAAAACCUUCCUGAAAAGGAUGGGUAACCCCAGCAAAAUUCUACGUGCUUGGGAUAGAGAUUUGCAAUUUUCUCUCUUGAACGAGGAAUUCCCAGUAAGUGCGAGUCAUCAGCUCGCGUUGAUUACGUCCCUGCCCUUUGUACACACCGCCCGUCGCUACUACCGAUUGGGAAAAUUUUAGAGAGUCCUGGACUGAUGAUUGUUCGGCUUCACGGCCUUACUUUCGUCGGGAAAGAAUUCGAUAAUAUUUUUCUAGAGGAAGUAAAAGUCGUAACA
rnacentral:rRNA from 1 species